GCCGCCAUGGUGGAAUCGGUAGACACGAGGGACUUAAAAUCCCUUGCCCAGUGAUGGGCGUGCCGGUUCGACCCCGGCUGGCGGUA
rnacentral:tRNA from 1 species